UAUAUGGAGAGUUUGAUCCUGGCUCAGGACGAACGCUGGCGGUAUGCCUAAUACAUGCAAGUCGAGCGGAUUAAGUACCUUCGGGUACGGAUUUAGCGGCGAACGGGUGAGUAACACGUGGG
rnacentral:rRNA from 1 species